GAUAUGAUGAAAGUCAUGAGGUUUAGGAGUUAUCCAUAGAAAACAAUGCAUUAUAACUUCAUCAGAAGAAAACUCACAUGCCGCAUACAAAAUAUCUUCAAUAGAACUUCUAUAAUGUCAUGGUUAUCAUAAAUUCAUUUAGCUCUAGAUUUUCUAAACCAGUAAGUUUCUUCCUCUAAGAGUAUAUAAGUAUAAUUUUUCAACAUAUUGUAAUAGAGCGUACUAAUCUUCUCCUCCCAUGUGAUAAGAAUAAUUUAGUAAUAGAACUUUCUGGAAAUGAAGUUUGCCAAGAGAGGUUACCCAUAGUUCUAUCUAACUUUUCUCUAAGAUCCUUGUGCAACUUAGUGAGUUUCGAUCCCUUAACACCCAAAUCAAUUAGAUUACAUUAGUUUAUGCAAUGGAGUAAUUUUGAAGCUCAAAUUGUGUUGAUAAGACCUCCUCCAAUUUUUUAAUGAUAAAAAAGAACUAUAUUCAAAACACAAGCUAAACACCAAGGAACAUUAGAAAGCGAAUGCAUAUCACAAAUCUCUUUCCGUAAAUCAUACACGAUAGAAAAAAACCAAAGAGAUUCAGACCGAAGAAAAACUUUUAACAAACACAUUGAGUAGAAGUAGAGAUCACAUCAAUAGUGAUGACAUUCAUCUUUCAAAGAUACCAAAUACCUUCAAAAAAAACAUGUGCCUCAACCCUAACCAUACCAACAAAGCCAAGUUACUCGAUCACAAAUAUUUGUAUAUUUUUAAUAUACAAAUAUGUGGCCCGUAUGUUUUAUUUAUCAAUAAUAAAGAUUUGUCCUUUUUUAUUUAUUUAUGAGUGAUAAAUAUUUAUUUUAAAAUUUUUUAUAUUUAUCAAUGAAAAAUAUCUGUCCUAUAUUUUUUUUAUGUAACAAUAACAUAUAUUUGUCUGUUUCUUUUAUAUAUUUAACAGUGAUAAAUAUUUGUUCUAUUUUUUUUUUUUAAAUUUACUAGUGACAAAUAUGUUACUCAUAUUUUUUAUGUAUCAAUUAUAAAUAUUUGUCUCAUGUUUUUUAUAAGUGAUUAAUAUUUAUUGCGUGAUUUUUAUAUUUAUCAGUGACAAAUAUUUAUUAUUUUUUUAUAUUAAUCAUUCACCGAUAUUUUUUUUUGAUUUUUUCCGAUAAAAAAUUUUCGAUAAAAAUUUUUUGAUUUUUUUUUAUAUAAAUGAUUUAUCUUUUUAAUAAUUUUUUUUUCACAAAAUUUUUUUAAAGUUUUUUUUUAUUUAUUAAUAUUAUUAAUGAAUUUUGUAAGGUUGGAUCGAUCAAAAGUUCCUAAUUUGACCAUCCUUAGAAUUCAACAAUAUUUAGUUAUAAUUUUCUAAAAAUAAUCACUCCUAAUAAUUAAUUGUUAUUUUUGUUAGAAAAAAAUUAAACUCGCGAGUUUGUGUCACCCUAACUCCACCAAAUGAUAUUAUGACUCAUUUAAUCAUAGUUUACUUUCAAUUGUCGAACUCUACAUUAUAUCUAAAAUUAUUUUGAAUUUAGAAAAAUACUUAAUCAUUUUAUUAACUAAUAUUAUGAUACGACAAAAAAAUUAUCAAAACAAACUUAAAUCAACUAUUAUUUUUUAAUUUUAAAAUAUAUAAAAAAAUUAUAUUAUUAAAAAACUUGUAUAACAAUAGUUUAUUAUAUUGUACUUUGUCUGAAAACCUCAACAUUCACCUUUUAAAAUUUCAAAUUAUAGUUAUUUUCUUCUUUCUUCGUUGGAGACGAAUAACUUUAGACCAUUUUUUUUUAUCUAUAAUCAUUUCUUUAAUUAUUUUUUUAUCUAAAUAAAUAGCUUCUACAUAAAUUUAUUUAUUUUUUUUUAUCUUUUUUGUGAUUUCAUCAUUUGGAAACAUUUUUUAGUUUUUUGUCUAAGUGCGAAUCUUUUUAAUUUUUUCGUCUUUGUACGGUAUUUAUUUUGGUUGAGAAAUUUCAAUAAAUAAAUUUAACGUCGUCAUAUUUAUUUUGGUUGAGAUAUAUAUUCCAAACCCCUAAAUUUUGUCAUAUUUAUUGAGAUGUUAUCGCAUUAUGUUAUAUUACUAUUUUACGCUAUAAACUUAAGGUAGGUGAAUUUGUUUGCAAAGUCAUUCUUAUUAUUUUUAACAAAGUUGAAUUUAUGUUGUAUAUAUGUAUUAUACCAUUUGAAUCAAUAAAUAUUGUUUAUUUUAAUAAAAAAAAUAAGAUUGUACUUUGUCUGACUUCUAAGCACAUAAUUUGAGUUCUGCAACCCCUCAUAAAAAAGUAUAAUUUCUCUACUAUGAAAUUGGGUUUGGUCUUCUAUGUUACAUCAUAAGGAAUUGAAGUACUCCUUAUACUCUAAUUAAUAAUUAUUUUACUUAUAGAAAAACAAGUAAUUUUGUUAUCAGUUUUAUUUACGACAUAUUUUGAUAUCAUUUAUUAUAUCUCAAAAUAUAAUUUUUCUUAUAAUUAAUUGAAGUAUGUCGGCAGGUAUUUCGUACCUAAAACAUGUUCAUAAAAGAUUAACUAAAUUUAUUUUUUUUUUUAAAUAUAAUUAAUUAAUUAAUUAUUUAAAUCUGUAUAAUAAUUUUCUCUAAUAUAUUUCUUAUAUUAUAUUAUUGAAAUUUAAAGAUAUACAUGUAUAAUAUACAACAUAUAUAAGGGUGUUCAAAUCCAAACCAAUUUGAAAAAGAACUGCAAAAUAAUCCAAAAAAAUAAAAAAAUGAAACCAAACAUUAUUAGAUGUAUUUGAAUAUUUUUUUAUUGAAUCUGAUUUCGGAUUGAAUUUUUAAAACCAAAGCAAACUGUAUAUAUACAUUUUUUAAUACUUAUUUAUUUUUUAUUAGUAUUAUAUAUUGCAUUACUCUAUUAUUUGUUACUUGUUAGCUUUAAUUUUUAUUAAUAAUUAAUAGUACUUAUUUAUUUAAUUUAACAUUUUUUUACAAUUGCAUGUAUUUCAAAUAUAAUCAAUCAAUAUUAUUUUAUAAUUUUAAUUUUUAAUAUAUUAAAUAUUAUAUUUUAUUUCAAUUUUAACGUAAAUUUAUAAUAAUAAUAAUAUUUAUGAUUGUAAUUUAGAUAACAAAAAUCAAUUCAAUUUAAAAUGCAUUUAUUCAGUUUGGAUCAUUUUUUUUUCUUCAAAUAUCAUCCAAACUAUAUCAAACUACAAUUAUUUUAAUUUUUAAAUCUAAAGAAUUUUUGCCUCGUAACGACUCAAACCGAAUCACAUCAAAGACACUCCUAAAUUACAACAUCCUCAAUAGUUUUUUUUCCGUAUAAAUUAGAUAUCCUACGAAUAGUAUUCUUUAUCAAGAACUUUAACUUUGUCAGAUUUUAGAGUUUAAUUUGAAUUUAACACUUCUAAUUAAACUUAAAUAGAUAUAAAUUAUUUCAUGAAAUGGUCAUGGUAACAUCCUAUCACUAGGUAGUUAUGAUGAAGCAAACAAACAUAUGAGAGAGAAGAAGUGGUAUCUCGUUUGGAAGAACACUUUAUAAUUUUUGGUAUCAAGUGUGUGAUGAAAACUGCAAGGAAGAAUAUACUAAGGCACUAUGAUGUAAGACCAUUUAUUAAUUGUAAUUAUUGAGAAAGGGGGAUGCAACCAGAUCUUGGAAAGUUUAUUUUAGUCAUCCACUUAUUUAGGAAAGUGAAAAUAUUGUACAUCAUUAAAAUGAGAAAAGCUAUUCAAAAAUCAAUUAUUUUAUUUGUAUAGUUAGACACGCGGCGCAUGAAAUCAGAUAUUAACAUAUCAGUUAUCACCUAUGUCUGUAUCAUACACAUUUCUUUACGAUUUAUAAUAACAAAAACUUGUCCAAAAAGUUGUCUUUUAAGACGAUGAUAUGCGAUUCGUUAAUACGCAUCUUUAAAUUUGGAUCUUCGAUUUCUUCAAAAUUAAUGUGUAUAAAUUUUGUUAUUAAAUUUCUUAAAAGAAAAAAAUUAAUUUUAUAAAAGAUAAAAUAUUAACUGAUAUACAAUUAUUUUACAUUGAUAUUCACGUACAACAAAUCAUUGUACAAUUAUUGUUUUAAAUAAUUAUAAAAAUAAUUUAACAUAUUAUAAAUUAAUAAUUAUUAUAUAUUGAUUGUUGAUAUAAAAUUAAUUUUUAUCCAAAAUCUAUUUUAUAAUAAUCACAAUAUAAAUGAUAACGUGAUUAUAAAUUUAAAAGAUGAUCAUAAAUAAAGUAACUCAUACUAAGAUGCUAGUAACAUGGAUUUCAUAUUAGUGAACUCUAUCAAAGACUAGUUAAAAAAUGAUAAGAUAAUUUUACAAAAACCAAAAUAAAGGCUUGAUUUAACUAUAAUUUUAUUAUCUUAAUUUUAUGAAUUUAUGAAAUUGAUCAUUUUAUCUUAUAAGUCAAUAAUUUCAGUUCAUUUUUUAAUUUUUAACUAAAAAAUAAAGACAUGACAUACUUUAAUUAAUGAAUCUAAAUAAUAUUAUAUUAUAAAAUUAUAUAUUAUAUUAUUUAAAAUAUUUUAAAUUAUCAAUUUUUUAAUUUAAAAAUUUAAAAGAGAUUAAAACUAUUAACUUUUAAAAUAAAGAGAUCAGUUUCAUGAAUUGAUAAAAAAAAAUUAUAAUUCUAUAAAUUAAUAAAAUUAAAUAGAUUAAAAUCGUAAUUAAACUUAAAAUUUAUUAAAAAUUUAAUUCUCUCGUUAAACAGCGUUUAAUUGUCAUGUGAACAUCGAAUAAGAGACUAAUGACUUUUCUUUCGUACAUACGUGGAGUUCGAGAGAGUACUUUUUCUUACUGUAGUUUGAAAAUACAUGCUGCUGCUGGUUCUAAUUACUACUAUUAUUUUCUAAAUAUUUUAUAAAUAUAUCUUUCGUAAAAUAAUGUGAAAUAUUAACUGUAUUUACUAAUAUUUUAAAAAAUAUAUACAAAGAUAAAAAAAUUCAUUUACAUAAUAAAUAUAUUUUUAAAAAUUACAAUUUUUUAUAAAUAAAACAAAAUAAUUUUUUUAAAAUUUCUUAUAUUUAUUGCAAUUUUUUAAAAUCACUAGAGAAUGAUCUACACAAGAGAAUGAUCUAUAUUUAUUACAAUUUUAUGUUCAAAGGAAACGUCAAUGUUGAUAAUCUUAAAGUAAAUUUAUUGAAAAUACAUGCAAUAUCUAUUGACUUUGGAGUAGAUAAUGAAUCACGGUAGAGUUGGUCUUUGACAAUUUGGGUGUUUUUGGCCAUUGGAUAAUUCAAUAAAGUGGUGUUCUUGUAAAUAUUGAAUAUCAUUUUAUUUUCAUUUAUUGUAAAAUUAUUAAUAAUUAUUUUAUAAUCAAAGUUUUCUUUAAAAAAAUAUUUAAUUUAUAUUAAUUUAUAAUUGUAACAAAGGCAAUACUAUUUUAGUAUAAUUUAUUUUUAGCUUAUUGCAAUUUUAAUUUCUUUAUUUUUAUCGAUUCAAAAAAUUGGUCCAUCUAUUUUAAAAGUUAUCAAUUUUAAUUCAUUUAUUUGUUUUUUAUUUUUUAACUAAAAAAGCCAACGUGACAUGUUUUAAAUAGUAAAAUAUAUAAUACAGUAAUGUAGAAUAAUUAAUACUGAUGAAUUCAGAAUAAAACACCGUAAAUAUUUAACUAUUACUUUAAGAAAUUUUUCAUAUUUAUAAUUUAAUAAAUGAAAUAUGAAUAAUUAAUACAUCUAGAUAUUUCUAUAUUAAGAAAUUGUAUGUCACGUCAUAUAAAAUAUGUCAAGUCGUCAUUUUUUUUUCAAAAAUUUGAAUGAGAGGCAAAAACCGUAGACUUUUCAAAUAAUAGAAUUAAUUUUGUGAAUUGAUAGAAAUAUAUUAAAAAAUAAUUGCAAUUAAACCUUUAUAUUUUUUAAUUAUAAAUAUGUCUGUUUCGACAACUUUAUAAUUUUUUAUUAAAAAUUUUAUCUUUUAAAAACUAUUCUUAAAUAAACUUCUAAUAACUACAUUGAGUAAUCUUCCUGCUAUUUUAUUUUUUCCAUUUUAAUUUUUUUAUUAGUUUUUUUUGUUAAAUUACAUCUGCGGUCCCUUAACUUAAUUUCAGGUAACGUUUUAGUCCUUUAUAUUUUUUUUCCCGAGUUGGUCCUUUAUUUUAAUUUUAAGUGACAAUUUGAUAUUUUAUGUUUAAAUAUCAACAAUGUUGUCCUUUUUUUUUCUUCAAAAAUUCAAAAAAAUCAUCAAAAUUUUCAAACAAAACCCAUAAAAUUCAUUAUCAUCUUCAAUAAAAUACAAAUUCAAUCAAAUUCAUAACUUAAAUCUUAAAAUAAACUCAUAUUUUAAUUCCUUAUUUGAUGUUGUUGGAGAUAAAAAUAUGAGUGUAUUUGAAUAUUUGAAUUAUGAAUUUGAUAAAAUUUGCAUUAUAUUGAAGAUGAUUAUUAAUUUUAUGGGUUUUGGUUGAAAAUUUUGAAGAUUUUUUUUGAAUUUUUGUAUAAAAAAGGAUAACAUUGUUGAAAUUUUAAAAUAUAAAAUAUCAAAUUGUCAUUUAAAAUUAAAAUAAAGGACCAACUCGAAAAAAAAAAUUAAAACGUUACCUGAAAUUAAGUUAAAGGACCACAAAUGUAAUUUAGGCUGAUUUUUCAUUGCAAUUAAGCAAUUUCAAUGACGGAUUUAUGUUUUAAAAAAAUUCAACAAAUGAUAUAUGGAAAUUCAAUAAUCAUUUAGCUCAAUAAAAAAAAUACACACGAACACAUGAGUGCCAGCCUAUUUUUUUAAUUAUAAAUAUCUCUGUUUCGGAUUAGGUCCAGUUUGGAUCAAUUACCUUUAAAGUUUUUUUUUUUAUUAAAAAUCUUAUCUUUUAAAAAAUAUUCUUAAAAAAACUUCUGAAAACUUCAUCUUUCUACAAUUUAUUUUCCUUUUCAUUGUUUACUUUUUUCUAUUAAUUUUUUCAUUGCAAUUAAGAAUUUCAAAGACAGGUUUAUUUUAAAAAAUCCAAUAAAUGGUAUAUAAAGAAAUUCAAUAAUUGUAAAUACAUUUUAGCGCAAUAAAAAAUGAUAACAAAUGAACACACAAGUGCCUAAGAUUUUAACAAUUUCAAUUUAUGUUUUAUCAAUAUAGAUAUCCAAGAACAAGAAUGAUAUAAAAUUUUAAUAAUUUCCAUUUAUGUUUUAUCUAGCAAGAUAUCUAAGAAAGGGACUAUUAUCCUAAUUAAAAUACAUACUUAAUUUUACAUUUGGUCUGUUAUAUUUAUUUUAGGUUUCACUUUAAUCCCUAUUAGAAUUUCGGUUGAACUCUUAAUGUGGGACUCUUAAGUCUUAACAAUCUAUAUAUUUUAAAAGAUUUAUAAAGGAAGUUUGAUAAAUCAUAUAAUUUACACUUUUUUGAAGUUAAAUUAUAAAAAUUAUAAGUAUGGCUGAUAGGUAGAAGUACAAGUACAAUCUUCCUGAUGCGUGGUCAAGAAAAUCGGCUAAUACGACCUUUGAGCUCUUAUAAAAGGCAAGUUAUUAGAUAGACAUACCAUACUGUUCACAACAUUAUAAUUAUAUACUUUUUUUCAUGUAGAAUUUUCCUUUUCAAAAGAAAAAAUGAAUAUCUCACGUGUCAUAGAAGGUGUGACUUGUCAAAAAUGGUGUAGAGAGCGUGUAUAGGGUCAAAAAGAAUGUAUAAAGAUAUAUAAAUGGAUAUAAAAUUUUGUCACCGAUACGAGAUACAAUACUGGCUUAAUACGGCCUUUAAGUUCUAAUAAAAGGCAAUAUUAUUAGUACUACUUUUUCUUUUUACAUAAAGAGUUCAAGACGUGUCAUUCAUGAUAAAGGUACGUGAUUUAAUGGGUAACUACCACUUUUGUUGUAAGAUUAUCGUUGAUUUAGCUAUAAUUUUUAUAUUAGUCAUUAAAUGAUUAGAAUGAUCUUUGAAAAUAUAACUUACUGUUAUAAAAUCUUUAAAAUAUAAAAUUUAUUGUUAAAAUAGUAUGUAUUUAUUAUCAUGUUAUAAAUUAAAUUGAUUAAUAUUUUAAUAAUUAGAUGACAAAUUUAAAUUUUUGACUCAAUUAAAGACUAAAAUAAUAACGCUUUACAUUUUUAGAAACUAAAAUAAUGAUUUAAUAUUUCAAAACUAGUGGUUCAAAGAGUUGUUGUUAUUAAGAAUAACAUGAUCAAAGUAAUCAUAUAAGAAAAAUAAAUUUUGGAACUUGAUGGAAAAAAAGUAAUAUAAGGUUUCAUAUAUAUGGAAUAAAAAUAAAGAAAUUGAUACAUUGAGUUCUCCAUAUAAAGAGAAAUUAACUACCAAACUAAAAUCUAACAAACUAAUUGAAAAACUCUAACUAACAUUAUAUUUCUUCUAACAUCCUCCACAAAACUCAGAGUAAGAUGUCAUUAAUUUGAGUUUGGAUUAUAUUAUUCAUCCAGACACCCAUGACAAACUAAAGUCUGGUCCGUUUGUCGACUUGUCAUUCCUCACUUCGUCCACAACAAGUUUCGUAACACAAUUAUAAGGUAUUUGAGAACAAUAGACAAAUAAACAGGAGAACCGUAUCCGACACGCUGCACAUAACAAUAGACUUUUCUUGACCUGGAGAUUAAUUAGUUUUAGGUUUUAGUUUUAAGGUUUUGAGGUAAGAUGUGAUAUUCAAUUCACUUGUUUGACUGCUCUUAGUCGAAUGUGGUGAUCCCACAAACUCCUUUAUGAUCCCACAAAUUUCACUGUUGUAUAUUUUCCGGAAAAAUUGAAAUAAAUUUUCCAAUACUUCCGAAAAACUUUAAAAAAGAUUUAUAUGAGGCAUUUAUAUCUUUUCCUUUAGUUUGUAUUGGUACAGGAACAAUUUGGAAGGAAAAUUUUCCCUUGUACCCACUCAUUUAUCCCUAUACUCCCAAAAGUAAAGGAAAAAUACUAAAAUACCCUCAUAUAUAUAUAAAUAUUUUUUUUUAAUUUCUUCAUUUAACAUUUCCGGAACAGAAACAACAAGCAAAAAAAAAAAAUUCCGGAAAACUUCUUUCAAGUUUUCCGGUACACAACUUUUCCGGAAAACUUGAAAAAAGUUUUCCGGUACAGAACAUCAUUUUCGAAAAACUUCAACGUAACAUUUCCGGAAACCACCGAAAAACUUCAUGCACAUGUUUUCCGGUAGUUGUUUGAUUUUUUUUUUAAAUAUUUUUUAAAAUAAUUUUUUUGUUUUAUUUUUUUUAUUAUAUUAGUAUUUAUUUGAUUUUAACUAAGAUCUUGUUAAGGAAGUAGUAUUAAUUAUUAAUUAUGGUGUAUUAAUUAUGAAUUAUUAUGGUAUAUUAAUAGUGUAUUAAUUAUUGAAUGGUGUAUUAAUUAUUAAUUAUUUAUGGUAUAUUUAUGUGUGUUAAUUAAUAUUUAUGAUGCGUUAAUUAUUGACUAAUGUAUUAUCAUUUAUAAAAGUAAUAAAAUUAAAAAAAAAAUUAAAAAAAUGUUGUGUACCGGAAAUCUUUUUGAGAAAGUUUUCUGGAAACACCUUCUGUACCGGAAAUCUUUGGAAUGAAGUUUUCCGGUAGUACAAUUUUUCACUUCUGUAUCGGAAAUCUUUUUUAAAGUUUUCCGGUAACAACUUUCUGUACCGGAAAACUUGAAAAAAGUUUUCUGAAAAUAAGGUGUGUACCGGAAAUCUUUUUUGUAGUUCCGGAAAAGAAUAAAUUAUAAAAAAAAAAAAAAAAAAAUUAAUAAGGGCAUAAUUGUCAUUUUCAAAAAAUUAUGGGGGUAUAGGUAUAAAAAUGGGGGUACAGGGGAAAUUUUUCAUUUGGAAGAUAUAGAGUAAAAUUUUCUUAUUAUAAGCAUUUCAUACAAUACACGGCCCAAUGCAUUUUUGGCGAUGUUCAAACCAUACGGUAUACCAUCCAACAAAAACUAUCCGAACUAAUUAUAAGCAUUUUAUAUAGUACACGGCCCAAUACAUUUUUGGUGAUGUUAAAAACCAUAUAGUACACAACCCACCAAUAUCCAAAGAUUAGGAAGUCUUAAUCAAUAUCCCACCGUUAAAAUUUAGGAUUGAAUAUGUUUUUAGAUUUUAUAGAAUUUUAAAUUUUCAAUUUUAGUAAUUGUAUUUGUAAGUUAAGUUAUAACUCAACUGACAAAUGUCAAAAUUAUUUGGUUAAAUAUUUUGUUUAUGGUUCGAACUUAAGUCGCAUUUGUGUAUGAGUUUUUGGUGCUAUUUACAAUUAUGUCUACUAACCCAAAAAAAUUACAACUUUUAAUCGUAGAAAAUAUCAUGCAUAUAGUUUUAAUCUUUACUGUUAAAUCAACGUAUAUUUUUAAAAGAUUUUUUGCAGAUAUUUUAACAACAUUAUAAAAAGUUUGUAAACAAAAAUUAAGCUCAAAAUUUAAUUUCUAGUCCAUAUUUUUAUUACUUUUAUCUUAAGUUUUUUAUAUUUAAAAAAUUUAUAUUUAAUUUAUCGAAAGUUAAAAAUAAAUCUUAAUUUUUGUAAAUGAACUUUUUAUAAUAUUAUAAAAAUAAUUACGAAAAAUCAUUCGAAAAUUUUGUGAAUGCAUAGAUUUCCUAGUUGUUCUAGUCUAAGUUUUAUCUUUGAUUUCGAUGAUUGUUUCUUAAGUUAGAUUUAGAAUCUAUACAUGUCUUUGUUGAUUUCACUUAUCCACCUUAUGCUUGAGCAAAAAGUAACUCGAGGAAAUUGACAUUUGAAUCAUGCAUAGUUAAAUGCUUCAUUAACACUCUUUUAAAUUUAUUACUUCUCAUUUCAAAUGAUUUUACACAUGUUUUUUGAAUCUGUUUGAAUAGAUUCAAGGAAUGUUUGAAUAUAUUCAAACCGUAAGUCUUAACAGAUUUAGUGUUUCCUUGAUUUGAAUCAAGCAUUAGUUAGGGAAACUCCUUGAAUCGAUUCAAUGUUUCAUUGAUUUGGAUCAAGUUUGUCCAUGAUUUCUUGAAUCCAUUCAAAGAUUAUUUGAUCUAUAUCACAUUAAAAAAAAAGUUUUGUUUUUUGUUCUUUUUUUUUCAAUGUUAGUUUCUUACACCCAUAAAUAAUCAUCUUGGAACUUUUAAUAAUUUAACAUUCUGAAAUUCAUCUCAAUAUUUUCAACCUCUCAAGUUAAAAAAAUUUAUUGAAAGGGGUUUUUUAGAGGGAUUUGAAUCUUCAUCAUUGAAAGAGAGCUUUCUUGUUGAAGAUUGCAAAAUGUUGAUUUUGGAGUUGUCAAAAUCAAGUGCUAGAAGUGGGAUUCAUAGAAGAAACUCUCAUAAAAGAAUCUUGUAUUAUUGCACAACUAUGUUAAUGGAAGAAACUCUCAUCAAAAUUUGGUUUUAUAUCUUAACUCUAUCCUUCUUUAAUUUUCUGCAUUGAAAUGACAAUUUGUGUACAGAUAAAUUCUGAUUUUUGUGUUCUUGAGAAAUUAUGAAGUGUUUAAAACAAAAUUUUAUUUUCUUAAUCAAUUCAUAUUGAAGAUAUUAAUACAAUUGUUUCAAGUUUUUUUUUUUUGUUAAUGUGCUAUGCUGAAUUUUUCUGUAAUCAUUCAUUUGUAGAGUUGAUUGAUUCUAUAUUUAUACAAUUACUAAGUUAACUGAAUUUCCUUUCAAUUAAAUUUUCAAUUUAUUUAUUCACAACCUUUAUCUAAAUUGGUGUUUAGCAAUUCGAAGAAAUAUUUUUUUGUAAAGUAUCAAGCAUGUGUAAUCGAUUCAAUAUUUUUAAAAAUUAUGUUUUUUUUUCUUUUUUUUUGAAAUCCUAUUCUCGCCUCUAGAAUUUUGGUGCCUUUACAACUAACAAUUUUAAAUUUGAAAAAUAAUUAAAUAUGUUUCUUUUCACAACUAACAAUUUUUAAAUUUAAAAAAUAAUUAAAUAUGUUUCUUUUCGACAGAUAAUAAAAUAGUUUAUUGAUAAUUUUAAAAGAACUGAAAGUUGUAUUUUUUUUUACAGUGACUAUAAUUGAAAAGUUAGAAUUUUAUAGAGACUAAAACGAUGCAUCAUAACUCUACAAUUUAUUGGGUUAGCAACUUAUUUCCAAUAAAUUUUAAAUGUUAAUUAGAUAAUUAACCUAACUUAGUCACGAUUCAAAGAUGAAUGAUUCAUUUUCGUAUAAAUCUAUCAGUCGUCGAACUUUUUGAGCUGAUCUAUUUUGCCUGCCAUUUUAGGCGGUUUGAGUUAAAGAUUUUAAUUCAUCUAUCUAAAUUGGUCAAUUUCGUUUAUAUAGUUACACGUUUAACUGUAUAAAUAAACUAAGAACCUAAUAAAAAAUGGUAGGUCAUUCAUUACUAAGUAAUUAAAAACACUUUAGUAUUUUAAGUUGAUGUACAUAAUAUUAAUUAAAGUAUAGGGUAAAAUAAUAAUAAUAAUAAUAAUAAUAAUAAUAAUAAUAAUAAUAAUAAUAAUAAUAAUAAAUAUUACAUUUAAAUUAAAAAAUAUAAUUCAUUUUAGAAUGUUUUUGUUAUAAAAAAUACGACAAUUAUUGUGGCGGAAAGAGUAACUUAUUCCAUAUAUAUAUAUAAAGCAACUAAUGAUAGGAAAUUAAAUCAGAUUUCACAGGUCCAGCUAUUAAAUGACAUUUGAAUUUAAGAUAUCAAUUAAUUCUAAUAACAAACUAAAACGUUCAUAUAGGCUUGUAAUAGUAGUAUUAAUUUGACUAUUAGGUAUAAAAUGUGGUUGGUGACUAUAAGCUAGGGUCAUGCAAUGGCAUAUGCUCAACAACUCAUUAGCAUCAACCUCCUUAUAAAAAUGAGAACCCACAUAAUUAAUUUUGUGUAGAAAAGAGAGAGAGAGAGAAUAAGAUAAUAUCAAAUUAAUGGGUAAGUGGUUGUGCAUCUUGGUGGUUUUGGCUAUGGUCGUGGUUGCAACAAGUGCAAGGAAUGUGCCCAUUGGAGGCACUAAUUUGAAGGAACAAAAAUGCAUUGGCAGGUUUGGUACUGGUGUAGGUGCUGAUCUUGGUAUGCCCCUAAUUGGUGGCCUUGGUGGUUUCGGUGGAACUGCUUUUACCGGCCGUCGUAUUCCUCAACCUUGAAUUAUGGCUUUAACUUAUUUUCAUUCUCGUCUUGAAUAUAAAAAAAUAUUUAAUCAAUAAAAAUUAAUAUAUUUAGUAUAAAAUUUAUACUAAAUAUAUUUAUUUUUAUUGAUUUACUUUUUCUUAUAUUUGAGAUUGAAUAAAUUAUAUAUAAUAUCAUAUAUGGCAUCUUAUUAUUAUUAUAAGAGAAUAAAAUGAUUAGUAUGAUGUCAUGAUUAAUGUUUUAGUGUUUUAUGAUUUUUUGCCAAGAAAAAAGAUCAGUACGUACUAGCUUGUUUUUGUAAUGUAUGGAUGUGUUGUUCCUUUUUAUGUAAGGGAAGAUAUAUUAUGCAUGAUUUCACCUUCUUAUGAUAUGAAAAAAUAACUUUAUUUUUUCCUAGAUUCACCAUGAACCCAUCAAUGAUUGUCACCCUUCUCUAUGGAACACAGUUCAAGGUCAAAACCUUCACAACCACCUAGGACAAGGACACAUCACACAUUAACUAUAAAACUGGAAAUAUAUCCAAUUCCAUGAGGACUUU
rnacentral:lncRNA from 1 species